GACUAACGUUGGCGGCGUGCAUAAUACAUGCAAGUCACACGGGACGUGGGGCAACUCAGUUCAGUGGCGAACGGGUGAGUAACACGUGGAUGAUCUACCUUCAAGAUCGGGAUAACUAGCCGAAAGGUUAGCUAAUACCGGGUAUGACCACGGCCAGUAUCGUCUGGUCGAGGUAAGAGCUGGGGACCGCAAGGCCUAGCGCUUGAAGAUGAGUCCGCGGCUGAUAGCUAGUUGGCGGGGUAAUGGCCCACCAAGGCGACGAUCAGUAGCCGGCCUGAGAGGGUGACCGGCCACACUGGGACUGAGACACCGGCCCAGACUCCUACGGGAGGCAGCAGUAGGGUAA
rnacentral:rRNA from 1 species